rnacentral:lncRNA from 1 species
CGAUGUUUUUGUGUGUAAUUUAAUUACAAAAGCACUCGUCAAGUUUCGGGCGAAAACGAGUUAAAACGGAAAUUCUACGCGAUUUCCAAGUUUCACUUAAAGUGAAUAGUAACUCGAUUUUUCGGAGAAGCCGCGGUGAGAAGUUGGCUUCUGGCUCGUACCGGACUCUGUUCAUAGCAAUCCAAUAGCUCGUUUCGACCGGUUCAGCUAUUCUGGAACCAUUGGCGCUGACGGAUUUUGAGUUUGACGCACGGAUUUCGAUAAAAUCCAAAAAUACAUGUUUUAUAUGUAUUUUUGUGUGUUUCUUUCGAUUGGAACGAAAGGUUGGAUUUUGUCGUGAAUCCGUGGUCGAUCGAGACGAAACGAAAUCGCAGCUUUGUUGUCUCCGUUGUGCUGACCGCACUGGUGCAAUCCGUUCGCAAAUCUGACGGACGGAUCUGCAGAGAUCGCGCGUUAAUCGAGGAGAGGUCGGUAGUGGCAAAACGAUAUUUUCGCGAAAGUCGCGAUAUUUUAUGUACCGUUUCGCGAGGGAUCACACGUGGAGGGGCGUUCUUGCGUUUUAGUCGUACUGUGAGGGUCUCGGAUAGAAAUUCUAAUGUUUGGGGGACCUUUUUGCAAAGUUACACCUCGGUAUUUAUAGUUCCUAGGGUUUUGAUCCCCUAACCCUAACCCUAGCCAGCCCCCAGCUACCCUAGUCGCCCCAGCCACCUUCACCCUUCCCCCUGCCCUUGCUGCACCACCCCCGGCCGCCGCCGGCUGAGCCCCGGCCGCCGCCGAGCCANNN